rnacentral:rRNA from 1 species
AGCAGCCGCGGUAAUUCCAGCUCCAAUAGCGUAUAUUAAAGUUGUUGCAGUUAAAAAGCUCGUAGUUGAAUUUCGGGAUCAAUAUAUCGGUCGUGCCUUGGUACGUACUGGUAUCAUUGGUUUCUCCUUUCUGACGAACCAUGAUGUCAUUAAUUUGGUGUUAUGGGAAGUUAGGACUGUUACUUUGAAAAAUUAGAGUGUUUAAAGCAGGCUUUAGCUUGAAUACAUUAGCAUGGAAUAAUGAAAUAGGACGUUCGAACCUAUUUUGUUGGUUUCUAGGAUCAACGUAAUGAUUAAUAGGGAUAGUUGGGGGCAUUAGUAUUCAAUUGUCAGAGGUGAAAUUCUUGGAUUUAUUGAAGACUAACUACUGCGAAAGCAUUUGCCAAGGAUGUUUUCAUUAAUCAAGAACGAAAGUUAGGGGAUCGAAGACGAUCAGAUACCGUCGUAGUC